UACGUAGGGUGCAAGCGUUGUUCGGAAUCAUUGGGCGUAAAGCGCGUGUAGGCGGUCAGAUAAGUCGGUUGUGAAAGCCCCGAGCUUAACUUGGGAAUUGCGCUUGUGACUGGCGUGCUGGAGUGUGGCAGAGGGAGGUGGAAUUCCACGUGUAGCAGUGAAAUGCGUAGAGAUGUGGAGGAACACCGAUGGCGAAGGCAGCCUCCUGGGCCAGCACUGACGCUCAUGCACGAAAGCGUGGGGAGCAAACAGG
rnacentral:rRNA from 1 species